rfam:Prunus persica cultivar Lovell chromosome G6, whole genome shotgun sequence.
GCCGAGCUAAGUAACGAGAGCUUGUAACUCAAGUGGGGGCAUUAAGGUGAUGGAACUUUGGCCCAGAAUUAACGGGUUGGGUCUGGUAUGGCUCUUUACUAGCCUGCCCAUUCCAAGCAAAGAGUUGUUCCAUGUGAUCUGAGCGAAAGCUCUGGGCCACAUGGCUCCUAAAGAGGAGGGCACCGCGUGAGGCUGGGUUCACAGAGCAGCGCCUACCUCCCGCUCUUUGCAGUGGAAGGAUAACGGGCUGGUGCCACCUUGAUCCAUCGUGGCCCGGUAGACUGGUCCACAUGAACCUAAUCCUUC